AAGUCGUAACAAGGUUUCCGUAGGUGAACCUGCGGAAGGAUCAUUAUCGAAUAAACUUGAACAGGCUGUUGCUGUCCCUUCAUCGGGUAUGUGCACGCUUGUCAUCUUUAUUUUCUCCAACUGUGCACCCUUUGUAGACCUGAGUGAUGAAAAUCGAGUUGGGGACUGCUGUGCUAACCACCGGCUUUCCCUUGUAUUUUUCAAGUCUAUGUCAUUUAUUUCACAAACCUAUGGAUUUGUUUAGAAUGUUGAAUUGGGUGCUUUAUGUACCUUUGAAAAUAAAUAUACAACUUUCAGCAACGGAUCUCUUGGCUCUCGCAUCGAUGAAGAACGCAGCGAAAUGCGAUAAGUAAUGUGAAUUGCAGAAUUCAGUGAAUCAUCGAAUCUUUGAACGCAUCUUGCGCUCCUUGGUAUUCCGAGGAGCAUGCCUGUUUGAGUGUCAUUUAAAUUCCUCAACCACAUGUGAUGUGGCUUGGAUAUUGGGGGGUUAUCAUUUGCAGGCCUUGAAAAGAGGUCUGCUCCCCUGAAAUGUAUUAGCGGUAUCUGCUACUACAGGUGUGAUAAUUUAUCUGUACCUUUAGUAUUCUGCAAAUGAUUAUGCUGCUUCUAAACAACCCAUUUGAUAAAUUUGACCUCAAAUCAGGUAGGACUACCCGCUGAACUUAAGCAUAUCAAUAAGCGGAGGAAAAGAAACUAACAAGGAUUCCCCUAGUAACUGCGAGUGAAGCGGGAAAAGCUCAAAUUUGAAAUCUGGCAGCUUUCCACUGUCCGAGUUGUAAUCUAGAGAAGUGUUACCAGUGCAGGACCGUGUACAAGUCUCCUGGAAUGGAGCGUCACAGAGGGUGAGAAUCCCGUCUUUGACACGGACUACCUGUGCGCUCAUGGUGUGCUCUCGAAGAGUCGAGUUGUUUGGGAAUGCAGCUCAAAAUGGGUGGUAAAUGCCAUCUAAAGCUAAAUAUUGGCGAGAGACCGAUAGCGAACAAGUACCGUGAGGGAAAGAUGAAAAGUACUUUGGAAAGAGAGUUAAACAGUACGUGAAAUUGCUGAAAGGGAAACGCUUGAAGUCAGUCGCGUUGGCUAGGAAUCAACCCAGCUCCUGCUUGGUGUACUUUCUGGUCGACGGGUCAGCAUCAAUUUUGACCAUUGGAUAAAGUCUUUGGGAAUGUGGCAUCCUUGGAUGUGUUAUAGCCCAUAGUCGCAUACGGUGGUUGGGAUUGAGGAGCUCAGCACGCCGCAAAGGCCGGGUUUCGACCACGAUCGUGCUUAGGAUGCUGGCAUAAUGGCUUUAAUCGACC
rnacentral:rRNA from 1 species